rnacentral:rRNA from 1 species
GACGAACGCUGGCGGCGUGCUUAACACAUGCAAGUCGAACGGACAGGCCCUGCUUUUGUGGGGUGCUCGAGUGGCGAACGGGUGAGUAACACGUGAGUAACCUGCCCUUGACUUUGGGGUAACUUCAGGAAACUGGGGCUCAUACCGGAUAGGAGCUCCUGCUGCAUGGUGUGGGUUGGAGAGUUUCGGCGGUUGGGGAUGGACUCGCGGCUUAUCAGCUUGUUGGUGGGGUAGUGGCUUACCAAGGCUUUGACGGGUAGCCGGCCUGAGAGGGUGACCGGCCACAUUGGGACUGAGAUACGGCCCAGACGCCUACGGGAGGCAGCAGUGGGGAAUAUUGCACAAUGGGCGGAAGCCUGAUGCAGCAACGCCGCGUGCGGGAUGACGGCCUUCGGGUUGUAAACCGCUUUCGCCUGUGACGAAGCGUGAGUGACGGUAAUGGGUAAAGAAGCACCGGCUAACUACGUG